UAAUUAAGCAGAGGAAAAGAAACUAACAAGGAUUGGCCCAGUAACGGCGAGUGAAUGGCUAAUAGCCCACCUGUGAAUCAUCACUAGUGAUGAAUUGUGGUAUGUAGGUCAUUUUGUUUGUUUUGCUGACAAAGUCCCCUGGAAUGGGGCAGCAUAGAAGGUGAUACUCCUGUUUGUAAGCAGCAUGAAAUUUGACCAGGGAGUCGAGUUGUUUGGGAUUGCAGCUCUAAGUGGGUGGUAAAUUCCAUCCAAGGCUAAAUAUGGGUGAGAAACCAAUAGUAUACAAGUACCGUGAGGGAAAGAUGCAAAGCCGCGCGAAAGCGCUGUCAAAGAGUACCUGAAAUUGCUGAAAUGGAAGCAAAGAAAACUAGUGUUAGUCACCCUGCAUUUCCUCUCUUGCUUGCAACUGAGGCGCUGCAGAUGGCUCUGCUUCAACCACUGACUUGCGGUGGAAGAUACUGGCAUCGUGGACAAGUGGUUGGGACAAAAUGGUUUUCUUUUUCCCG
rnacentral:rRNA from 1 species